GACGAACGCUGGCGGCGUGCCUAAUACAUGCAAGUAGAACGCACAGUUUAUACCGUAGCUUGCUACACCAUAGACUGUGAGUUGCGAACGGGUGAGUAACGCGUAGGUAACCUGCCUGGUAGCGGGGGAUAACUAUUGGAAACGAUAGCUAAUACCGCAUAAUAUUGAUUAUUGCAUGAUAAUUAAUUGAAAGGUGCAAUUGCACCACUACCAGAUGGACCUGCGUUGUAUUAGCUAGUAGGUGAGGUAACGGCUCACCUAGGCGACGAUACAUAGCCGACCUGAGAGGGUGAUCGGCCACACUGGGACUGAGACACGGCCCAGACUCCUACGGGAGGCAGCAGUAGGGAAUCUUCGGCAAUGGACGAAAGUCUGACCGAGCAACGCCGCGUGAGUGAAGAAGGUUUUCGGAUCGUAAAGCUCUGUUGUAAGAGAAGAACGGGUAUGAGAGUGGAAAGUUCACACUGUGACGGUAUCUUACCAGAAAGGGACGGCUAACUACGUG
rnacentral:rRNA from 1 species